CUCUCACCUCGAAACUAAUAAAAUCAUAAGGCUUGCCUACCCGAAUGUUGCCGGCCUAAUCAUGCUGCUAGUGGACAACAUAAUAAAAAUAAAAUAAAUAAAGUGGAGUAAAAAACUCAUUUUCAGCCCAAUUUCAUUCAAUUAUCUUAUAGUAUUCAAAUUUCGGGCACAAAUCAAUUUAUGGUUAAUAUUGUAAGCAACUAUAUUUGUUUAAGAAAUCAUUCAUACGGAAACGUUUAUCAUUCUAGUACAAAAUAAAACAUCAAAUGCCCACAGUUGGAUAAAUUAGAAUCAAAUGGAAUUUCAUUUUGUAUCCUAACACACAUGGAAGAACAUUCAGAAUUAAUUAAAAAGAAACAAAGUUUAGAACGGACUCACAGAAAGCAAACCUCAAAAACUAGUCACGGGCCAAAAAGUGGACUGCGAUCGGAACUCGGAUCAGCAAGCUCGACGUACGACUGAACAAGACCUUGGACAACGACUCCAACAAAGAAUCUGUAGAAACAGUUAUCCAAACUAAAUUUGAAAACUCAAAACUCGCGGGAAAAGGGCUCGAAAUUAGAUUUUGGACUCUUACUGCUUCCAGCUUUUACUUGUUUUAUUUUCAAUUUGUAUUUCAUUUUGGGCCGAAGGUCGUCAGCAGGUCGAGGCCUGGUUGUCGUCGAUUUUUUCUGCCUUGGUUUCAAAUCCUAAAGGUCUUUUCCGUUGAAGAAGAAGAAACAACGACUGUAGCAGGUCAAAGUAGAUGAGCUCAAGGGUCGUUGGUUUUGGUCUGGUUGUUGGCUGAACGAAAACGGGGGGUUUUCCAUUUGGGUUGCUGCUUGGGUUGAAGAAGAGGAGGUCGAUGUCCCUAGUCGUUGGAGAAGGGAGGGCGACAGUCCUGGAGUGGUCCGGCAGCUGAAGGUGUAGUAUUUUCCAACGGGUCUGGUCUCUUUAGGUUAUUUGGUGAUGGGGCUGCGUGGUGGUGUUGUUGAUGUAUCAAGGGUUCAAAAAUGAGGUCUAUUCAGAUGGAGUGAAGGGGAAGGCGGUGGCGGCAUGGUGGUUCAGGCGAGUUUAGUGGUUAUGGAGUCCAAGGUUUGUGUAUUGUGUUGUUGUUGGAAGAAGAUGAUAUUAGGAUUCUUCUUUAAAGAAG
rnacentral:lncRNA from 1 species